rnacentral:other from 1 species
AGCCUGGGGUGUUCGACAAGCUUGCAUUUUUGAACCUACAUGUUGACAUACGGGAUUCCUAUAUCGCCAGGUGGAUGACAGGCCUCCGUAGCAGUGGAAGUCAGAAGUCUGGUUGCGGAAACCCACCUAGCUGGGGCUAGGAGUCAAAAAGCAAGAAACGGCAUUCCGGGUUC